CCAGACUCCUACGGGAGGCAGCAGUCGGGAAUAUUGCGCAAUGGAGGCAACUCUGACGCAGUGACGCCGCGUAUAGGAAGAAGGUUUUCGGAUUGUAAACUAUUGUCCUCAGGGAAGAAAAAAGACUGUACCUGAGAAGAAAGCUCCGGCUAACUACGUGCCAGCAGCCGCGGUAAUACGGAGGAUGCGAGCGUUAUCCGGAUUUAUUGGGUUUAAAGGGUGCGCAGGCGGCGAGUUAAGUCAGCGGUAAAAUUGGGGGGCCCAACCCCGACGAGCCGUUGAAACUGGCUUGCUAGAGUGGGCGAGAAGUAUGCGGAAUGCGUGGUGUAGCGGUGAAAUGCAUAGAUAUCACGCAGAACUCCGAUUGCGAAGGCAGCAUACCGGCGCCCAACUGACGCUCAGGCACGAAAGCGUGGGUAUCGAACAGGAUUAGAUACCCGCGUAA
rnacentral:rRNA from 1 species